GUAAGAGCAAAAAUGAUUGUA
rnacentral:tRNA from 1 species